rnacentral:rRNA from 1 species
CCAGACUCCUACGGGAGGCAGCAGUGGGGGAUAUUGCACAAUGGGGGGAACCCUGAUGCAGCGACGCCGCGUGAAGGAAGAAGUAUCUCGGUAUGUAAACUUCUAUCAGCAGGGAAGAAAAUGACGGUACCUGACUAAGAAGCCCCGGCUAACUACGUGCCAGCAGCCGCGGUAAUACGUAGGGGGCAAGCGUUAUCCGGAUUUACUGGGUGUAAAGGGGGCGUAGACGGCAUGGCAAGUCAGAUGUGAAAGCCCGGGGCUCAACCCCGGGACUGCAUUUGAAACUGUCAGGCUGGAGUGCAGGAGAGGUAAGUGGAAUUCCUAGUGUAGCGGUGAAAUGCGUAGAUAUUAGGAGGAACACCAGUGGCGAAGGCGGCUUACUGGACUGUAACUGACGUUGAGGCUCGAAAGCGUGGGGAGCAAACAGGAUUAGAUACCCUGGUA